CCUACGGGAGGCAGCAGUGGGGGAUAUUGCACAAUGGGGGGAACCCUGAUGCAGCGACGCCGCGUGGGUGAAGGAGUGCUUCGGCAUGUAAAGCCCUAUCGGCAGAGAAGAAGCAAGACGGUACCUGACUAAGAAGCGCAGGCUAACUACGUGCCAGCCGCCGCGGUAAUACGUAGGGGGCGAGCGUUAUACGUAUUCACUGGGUGUACAGGGAGCGUAGACGGCCAUGCACGCCAGGGGUGAAAGCCCGGGGCCCAACCCCGGGACUGCCCUUGGAACUGCAUGGCUGGAUGGCGGGAGGGGCAGGCGGAAUUCCUGGUGUAGCGGUGAAAUGCGUAGAUAUCAGGAGGAACACCGGCGGCGAAGGCGGCCUGCUGGACCGCGACUGACGUUGAGGCUCGAAAGCGUGGGGAGCGAACAGGAUUAGAUACCCUUGUAGUC
rnacentral:rRNA from 1 species